ACACCCUCGGGUAAGAACGCUUCUUCUCCUGCAUGGUGAUGUCUGAUGUCUGAUGGGUGGUGGCAUACCAUGCAUCUGUUUCAUUUUAGCAGACAGCGGCCUAUCAGCGCAGGUGCCCACGGUGGGAGCUACCCUGUAGGCUGGACGACCUCCAGGACAGGGUCCCCUUCUACCUGUGCAAGUGUGGGGACUUCGCGGGCGCAGCCUACUUGCUGCUGUCUCCUGUCAACAUGCUGACCUGCUGCACUGCCUGCUGGCUCACACCUGCACACUUCGAAAGCUACCUGAAGGUGCUCUGGACGGGCAGUGUCCCUGUGGGCAAUGAUGUCCAGGACACUGGCCACUGGACGGUCGGCGUGGGUGAGGAGCUGGGGUGCUGGGCUCACCCCAGAGGGCAGGCUAUGUCUGUCCUCCCGCUUCCCACCAGCCCACAUUCAGGGCUCUACCACUACCUGCAUGGACAGGGUGCCCAGCCUGGGCUCUGGCUAGCUGGGGGUCAGAUGAGGGACCAUGCAGGUGCUCAGCUGAUGGAGUCAUGGCUCUGUGUACCUGUGGGGUUUGUGGGUGUGGCCCCUCCUGUAUCAGAGCCCAUCCAUCCCCAGGUGCGCCAGUGAAGCCCUGGGUCCUCAUGAAGCAGGCCCUGCGAAUGCUGUUUGGGAACGAGGCCUCAUACCAGAAUGUGACUGCCGAGUGGGGAGGAGGUGCAGGCCCUGUGUAAGGAAUAUGAGUGUGUGGGUGGGCAGGCAGGGCCAUAUGCUGAGCUGCCAUGUCACAGGCCGGUUGCUGGAGCACCCUCCUCUCCCUCUGGGGCAACAGCCCCAUCCUGGAGUCACUGACGCUGCAGGCAUCAUUAUCCUCAUUCCAGAAGGUAACCACAAGUGCGCCUGCACGCAUGGGGUCCGCCCCACUCUGCUCCCAGCCCACCUGCCCCUCACAGCUUUCCUUCUGCCUCUGGGCUCCCAGCAGGCAUGGCAUCGGUGCCGCCUUCCUGAACUGUCCAGCAGCCCUGCGCUCGUCUCACUCAGGGAGAGCCCAUUAGGGCCCAGGGGUGCCCUUUGCCUGCUUUUAUAACCCCUCAGGCUGCCCCUCAGGGCUUCCCAGCCCUCUCGUGGUCGACUUUCAGCCAAACCACCAGGCAGCUCAGGGUUUUAUUCGGGAAAUGGCCCUAUCUGCACGGUCCCCUCCCUCACACCCAGCCUGACCAUGGCACUGCCAGCCCUCUUCCAAGACACUGGUCAGCCCACCUCCCUUGGGGUCCUGGUCCCUGCAAGCCACAGCAGCUGACCAUCUGCAUGGCUGCCCACCUCAGAUGGUAUCUAUGACCACCCAGCACCCAGCCCACCCCUCCUGGCCGCGCCCCCUACUCUUGGGGCUGAUGGCACACUCCUUGCAGAAGGUGCUGCGCGCCUCCGAUGCCAUCCUGCAGGAGCUGAGGCAGCACGGGCAUGCCACCCUGCCUGCUGACCUCUUCCUCAGCCCAGUGAGUCAGUGGAGCUGAGGCAGGCAGGGCCAGCUGUCUCCAUGUGAGCUGCCGGGUCGAGUUCAUCUCCCCAAGCAGUUCCCUCCGCUCCUGUCUCCUUUACCGGCUCAGCUUGCUCGUUUUUCUCUGGCUCAGUCCCUGCUUGCUCUGACAAAGUUGGGUCAGGCCUCACUCCCUUAUGUCCCCUUUCCCCACAGAUGCUGCUCUGGGCUUGUGCACAGGGAGGGUGAUGGCCCCCAUGUCUCACCACCUGCCCAUCUGCCCAAGCUGGGCCUCGAGGCCUGCCUCCUGCUGUGCACCCAGGCUGCACACCAGAAGCUGGUCACCGAAUUCCCUUGGCCAAACUCACUGCUGGACAUCAUCCUUGCCUUCAGGGUAAGAAAAACCUCUGGGCACUGAAGGUGAUUCUGGAAGGCGUGUACAAGACCUCUGCCGUCUACAAGGUGGGACCUGAGCUACCAGAAAUACACGCUGCUACGGCUGUGAGUGAGCCUGCGGCCUACGCCAUUGUAGAGGGUGUGUGUGUUGGUGUAGGCCCUUGUGUGCGUGUAAGAGUGUGGUUUGUGUGUGUGUGUGUACACAUGCUAGUGCAUGGGCAUGUAUGUGUUGGUAUGAGUGCUGGUAUGUGUGGGCUAUAAGUGUGAGUGUGUCUGGGGGUGGCUGGUGAGAAUGUAAAGGCUCUGGCCAGUUGGUGUCCAUGGCGGUCCUGGGCACCCUUGAGCCAUGCUGUUCUGUUAGUGGAGGAGCCCAGGCCAGCAUGUGUUGAGCUGGCCAUACCCACAGGUGGCAGAUCCUGGGCCCUGAUUACAUGGGAGAGCUGCUGUGCCUGCUCAUGGGCUUCCAGAGCGUCGACCUCCAGACCAUUGGCGUCCUCCUGACCCACGUCGUGGUGGAGAAGCUCAGCCAGUGUACUUGGGCCAAGUCACUGGACCUUCACCGUCUCAAGGCCUUCCAGACACUGCAUUUGGACCCCACCAAAAGCUAAAUGCCUUUGUGUCAACCUUGGAAUACUUGUAACAGUUGCCAUUGAUGCUUGUGGAGAAGAGGGGUUUUGGUGAACAUGUUGUCUGGGCUCUGUGCCCUGCAGGUUUUUUUUGUCUGUUACUUCCCCUUCACGAUGUUGGCUGCUGAUUGUUUCCUGGUCUCCAGAGAGCAGAGUGGCCGGUGGGGUGGGGUGAGGCGCCGUGUUGGCACCAGGCACCAGCAGGUGCGCACAAGCAGGUUUUGUCUGAAGGCACAAUGUCAGUGGGCCUGUCCUUUGGUGCAGGGACACCACCUACCACCCCCAUCCCUCUGUGGCACCACGUCCGGAGGUGGGAUGCGGGCUUUGUACAUUCUUAUUGGCAGUUCAGCUGUGCUCUGCCGGGGCCCUGGGUGGGUGCAGUUUGGGCAGCUGGGGGGCAUCAAGGGGCCGCUUUCAGAGACCUGGGAUGGCCACUCAGUUGUCACUAGGGUACGUGUCUUUCUCACGAGAGAUGCAGCGGGAGCCUACACUCCUCAUCACCCUGAAGUUGUUUGUUGUAUUUUUUGCACACGUAAGUCUAAGACUUGAAUUAUUUUUGAAAAUUACUUUCAAACUUCCAGAGAUUACACAAGAGAACUGAUUUUUUAUCAGCCUGUUUAACUUGGUGAAAUAUAAGUUUUCUUUGGUAUUUUUCCAGUCCUCACAGCUGGUUUAUUUGCGGAGGGGGACAGAGCUGGUGCAUCCCCUUGGGCAUGAUUGGCAAACCUGGGCUGCAGUUGUUGCUGGGCACUCUGUGAGGAGGGGAGGGACACUCCUCCCUCCCCACCAGCUGUGUCUCCUUGAGGCGGCUGUGGCCUUGGGGGGCACACCAGCCCAGUGCUGGGUGCCUCAGAGGCACCACCAUGUAGCAAGGGCCCUGGUUUCUGUGGAGGAUGGCUGGGCAGGAGGGGGGCUGUGCCCCUACAGAGCCACCACAGAGCAAGCCUGGCCCUGUGCCAUCUCCCCAGCCAUGGAGAUCCACAGAUACACGGGCCCCACAAUGAGGCAGGAACACAGGUGCCAGGGUCUAGCUCUUGGGGUGCCCUCUGCAGGAGAUUGUGUCGCAGAGGCCACCCUCAUCCUCUGCAGCAUCUGGGGGCUCUGGUGUGCACACUUACUCAGGGUACCCUUCUAAUGAUCUCCUGAAGGGUCAGAGCACCGGCCUCCCCGGCAGGGGUUCAGCCAGGGCAUGGAGGGGCUGCAGCAAGCGUGAGGUGUCUGCAGCCUGUCCGCCACCCACCGCACCAGGCCCACUGGCAAUGGCCGUCCAGUGAGUCUGGCACACAGGACUGGGCACCCACUUCUGGGCCACAGAAGAAACAAUGUGUCCUCACCCGGCGACCCAGUUAGUGGAGCUAA